AUUUUGGAUAACUCCGUAUACACUGUGGUAUUCUUGACUGUGGUCCUACUGAGGCCAGUGACAGAGUUAUGGGUGAGGCAGGUGUAGGAUCCACUGUCACUUGCAGUGAUGCUGGGGAUAA